rnacentral:rRNA from 1 species
GACGAACGCUGGCGGCGUGCCUAAUACAUGCAAGUAGAACGCACAGUUUAUACCGUAGCUUGCUACACCAUACACUGUGAGUUGCGAACGGGUGAGUAACGCGUAGGUAACCUGCCUGGUAGCGGGGGAUAACUAUUGGAAACGAUAGCUAAUACCGCAUAAUAUUGAUUAUUGCAUGAUAAUUGAUUGAAAGAUGCUAUUGCAUCACUACCAGAUGGACCUGCGUUGUAUUAGCUAGUAGGUGAGGUAACGGCUCACCUAGGCGACGAUACAUAGCCGACCUUAGAGGGUGAUCGGCCACACUGGGACUGGGACACGGCCCAGAAUCCUACGGGAGGCAGCAGUAGGGAAUCUUCGGCAAUGGACGAAAGUCUGACCGAGCAACGCCGCGUGAGUGAAGAAGGUUUUCGGAUCGUAAAGCUCUGUUGUAAGAGAAGAACGGGUGUGAGGGUGGAAAGUUCACACUGUGACGGUAUCUUACCAGAAAGGGACGGCUAACUACGUG